rnacentral:rRNA from 1 species
CAGCUCCAAUAGCGUAUAUUAAAGUUGUUGCAGUUAAAAAGCUCGUAGUUGAACCUUGGGUCUGGCUGGCCGGUCCGCCUCACCGCGUGUACUGGUCCGGCCGGACCUUUCCUCCUGGGGAGCCGCAUGCCCUUCACUGGGCGUGUCGGGGAACCAGGACUUUUACUUUGAAAAAAUUAGAGUGUUCAAAGCAGGCCUUUGCUCGAAUACAUUAGCAUGGAAUAAUAGAAUAGGACGUGCGGUUCUAUUUUGUUGGUUUCUAGGACCGCCGUAAUGAUUAAUAGGGAUAGUCGGGGGCAUCCGUAUUCAAUUGUCAGAGGUGAAAUUCUUGGAUUUAUUGAAGACGAACUACUGCGAAAGCAUUUGCCAAGGAUGUUUUCAUUAAUCAGUGAACGAAAGUUAGGGGAUCGAAGACGAUCAGAUACCGUCGUAGUCUUAACCAUAAACUAUGCCGACUUGGGAUCGGUGGGCGUUACUAUUUUGACUCCAUCGGCACCGUACGAGAAAUCAAAGUUUUUGGGUUCUGGGGGGAGUAUGGUCGCAAAGCUGAAACUUAGAGAAUUUGACGGAAAGGGCACCACCAGGCGUGGAGCCUGC